GUGUCAGCCGCCGCGGUAAUACAGAGGUCCCGAGCGUUGUUCGGAUUCACUGGGCGUAAAGGGUGCGUAGGUGGCCGGGUAAGUCUGACGUGAAAUCUCCAAGCUCAACUUGGAAACUGCGUCGGAUACUAUCCGGCUCGAGGAUCGGAGGGGAGACUGGAAUACUUGGUGUAGCAGUGAAAUGCGUAGAUAUCAAGUGGAACACCAGUGGCGAAGGCGAGUCUCUGGACGAUUCCUGACACUGAGGCACGAAAGCCAGGGGAGCAAACGGGAUUAGAAACCCUAGUAGUCC
rnacentral:rRNA from 1 species